rnacentral:rRNA from 1 species
GUGGGGAAUUUUGGACAAUGGGCGCAAGCCUGAUCCAGCAAUGCCGCGUGCAGGAAGAAGGCCUUCGGGUUGUAAACUGCUUUUGUACGGAACGAAACGGUCCUGGUUAAUACCUGGGGCUAAUGACGGUACCGUAAGAAUAAGCACCGGCUAACUACGUGCCAGCAGCCGCGGUAAUACGUAGGGUGCGAGCGUUAAUCGGAAUUACUGGGCGUAAAGCGUGCGCAGGCGGUGCUGUAAGACAGGCGUGAAAUCCCCGGGCUCAACCUGGGAAUUGCGCUUGUGACUGCAAGGCUGGAGUGCGGCAGAGGGGGAUGGAAUUCCGCGUGUAGCAGUGAAAUGCGUAGAUAUGCGGAGGAACACCGAUGGCGAAGGCAAUCCCCUGGGCCUGCACUGACGCUCAUGCACGAAAGCGUGGGGAGCAAACAGGAUUAGAAACCCUUGUAGUCC